AGCUUGGCGUUGGUUGUCCAAGUUUAAGGUGGUAGGCUGAAAUCUUAGGUAAAUCCGGGGUUUCAAGGCCGAGAGCUGAUGACGAGUCGUCUUUUAGAUGACGAAGUGGUUGAUGCCAUGCUUCCAAGAAAAGCUUCUAAGCUUCAGGUAACCAGGAACCGUACCCCAAACCGACACAGGUGGUCGGGUAGAGAAUACCAAGGCGCUUGAGAGAACUCGGGUGAAGGAACUAGGCAAAAUGGCACCGUAACUUCGGGAGAAGGUGCGCCGGCUAGGGUGAAGGAUUUACUCCGUAAGCUCUGGCUGGUCGAAGAUACCAGGCCGCUGCGACUGUUUAUUAAAAACACAGCACUCUGCAAACACGAAAGUGGACGUAUAGGGUGUGACGCCUGCCCGGUGCCGGAAGGUUAAUUGAUGGGGUUAGCGCAAGCGAAGCUCUUGAUCGAAGCCCCGGUAAACGGCGGCCGUAACUAUAACGGUCCUAAGGUAGCGAAAUUCCUUGUCGGGUAAGUUCCGACCUGCACGAAUGGCGUAACGAUGGCGGCGCUGUCUCCACCCGAGACUCAGUGAAAUUGAAAUCGCUGUGAAGAUGCAGUGUAUCCGCGGCUAGACGGAAAGACCCCGUGAACCUUUACUGUAGCUUUGCACUGGACUUUGAGCCUGCUUGUGUAGGAUAGGUGGGAGGCUUUGAAGCGUGGACGCCAGUUCGCGUGGAGCCAUCCUUGAAAUACCACCCUGGCAUGCUUGAGGUUCUAACUCUGGUCCGUAAUCCGGAUCGAGGACAGUGUAUGGUGGGCAGUUUGACUGGGGCGGUCUCCUCCUAAAGAGUAACGGAGGAGUACGAAGGUGCGCUCAGACCGGUCGGAAAUCGGUCGCAGAGUAUAAAGGCAAAAGCGCGCUUGACUGCGAGACAGACACGUCGAGCAGGUACGAAAGUAGGUCUUAGUGAUCCGGUGGUUCUGUAUGGAAGGGCCAUCGCUCAACGGAUAAAAGGUACUCCGGGGAUAACAGGCUGAUACCGCCCAAGAGUUCAUAUCGACGGCGGUGUUUGGCACCUCGAUGUCGGCUCAUCACAUCCUGGGGCUGAAGCCGGUCCCAAGGGUAUGGCUGUUCGCCAUUUAAAGUGGUACGCGAGCUGGGUUUAGAACGUCGUGAGACAGUUCGGUCCCUACCUGCCGUGGACGUUUGAGAUUUGAGAGGGGCUGCUCCUAGUACGAGAGGACCGGAGUGGACGAACCUCUGGUGUUCCGGUUGUCACGCCAGUGGCAUUGCCGGGUAGCUAUGUUCGGAAAAGAUAACCGCUGAAAGCAUCUAAGCGGGAAACUUGCCUCAAGAUGAGAUCUCACUGGGAACUUGAUUCCCCUGAAGGGCCGUCGAAGACUACGACGUUGAUAGGCUGGGUGUGUAAGCGUUGUGAGGCGUUGAGCUAACCAGUACUAAUUGCCCGUGAGGCUUGAUC
rnacentral:rRNA from 1 species